rnacentral:rRNA from 1 species
GACGAACCGUGCGAACGUUAUUCGGAAUCAUUGGGCUUAAAGCGCGUGUAGGCGGGUUCGUGCGUCUGUCGCUGAAAUCCCCCGGCUCAACCGGGGAAGUGGCGUGGAUACGACGAGUCUGGAGGGGCAUAGGGGGACCUGGAACUUCCGGUGGAGCGGUGAAAUGCGUUGAGAUCGGAAGGAACGCCCGUGGCGAAAGCGAGGUCCUGGAUG